UUGGGCGGUUGGCAUAAAACUGGUUUGUGACUGGACUGCUAUGACGUCUCAAGUCGGUGGCGGUAAUGCUUCCUUCAGUUGUUUGCCAACCGCCAAUAAAACAAGAA